AAGAAAAAUUUUUGGAAAAAAUAAAGGAGGGCGAGAAGAAAUUGAGAGUGAAGCCCAAUUCACAAGAGAUUCUGAGGGAAAUAAAAUUGUACCAAGUGCAAUAUAUGAAAUUGAUAAAUCAAGAAGUGGAAUGGAAAAUUAAGCAAAUGAGACAAAAGACUUUUGAAUCGGCAAAUAAAUGUGGGAAACUGCUGGCCUGGCAGUUGAAGAAACGACAAAAACUUAAUACUAUUACUAAUUUGGAAGUGGAAGGGAAAAAUAUCCAGAAUCC